AUGCCUUCAAGCCUGUGCCCUUUGUCAGCUUCACGAAUUCACAAUAGUUUGUACUCUGCUAGAUGUACAGCAAGAAAAGAACUCUGCCUUCAGGUGCUGAACCACCAAGAGAAUGAGAUGGGAAAUAUGAAUCACAGAAGGCCUAAGAAAAGGAGCAGAAGAAAGAGCCUGGCAAAGACAGGAGGGAAAGGAGAACUCACUGUUUAUAGGCUUGGACAACAACAACAACAACAAUAACCCUGUAUGUCCUCAAAUAGGACAUAGAUAAUUCUUUUGCCACUAGAUUAAAACUGGAUUCAAAACUAGAACCAUGAUCAUUGAUUUGUG
rnacentral:lncRNA from 1 species